AGGAAUAUAAUGGCUAAGCAAACACAUGGCAUAUAGUUUAAUUCGAUAGGAAACAAGACACAGGUCAGCUUUCUUAGCGGACAAACAACACCAAACAAAGACGGAACAAAAGCAUAAACAUCUUAGCUAAACCUCACAAACAAACCGUGCACGUUUAAUCCAGGAAACCUCACUUUUGUUUAUGUCAAAUUAAAAGGAACACAUUGACAUGAAAGCCAGCCAAAGUGGGGAGUUUGUGGCCUAACAUGCUUUCACAACAUGCCUUUCUCUUAUACUUCAUCCAGUUUCCGCUACUUGGUUCAUCUGCACCAUUGUGACUAUACAGACAAUUUUUAGUGUAAAGAUACACGUGUGUUUUGUGUAAAUAUAAUAUAUAUAUACUAUUGUUCUCUGUUUCUUCAUACACAAUAGGCUAGUUUCUUGCCUAUAUAGCUCUCUCCAGCUUUUAACUUCUUAUAAUGGACCCUUUCAAACAGUUUGUCGGCAGCGACGAAUGUAGCAGCAGUGAAUCUGGGUGGACGAGCUACUUGGCUUCUCCGAUGGAAGAAGAUUACGAAUGCAGUGAAGAGAAUUAUAUCACAAUAUCAGAUUUGAUGUCUAUGAUGGUGCUGGAAAUAGUGAUGAUUCGAUGGUAUCGGAUGCUUCUUUGGCCCCGAGCCAUCAUCAGCAGCAUCAGCAUAAUAAACACAAGGAUGGUCAAGGUAAUCAUGGCAAGUGUAAUUCAACUAGCAAGCAUUCUUUGGGCAGGGAGGCGAAGAAAAACGAAAAAGAGUUCGGAAAACAGUGGUAAAUCCAAAAAGGGACUCGGUGGUCAAGCCAAUCCUUGCAAGUAGAGUCCGGUCGAGAGCGUUGAAAUGUAUUUUUCUUUUUCAGGGUCUCUCUUUCAAUAACAUAUAUGUAUGAUCACAAUAUGUUGAUUUCUUUGUUUCGGUACUGAGACGAUACUGUUCUGCAAUGUGUUUAUGAUUCCAAAAGCAAAUGUUAUAUCUUUGAUAUCAAUGCACA